UCUUGUUUACAUGCUUUUCAUGAAGCCCUUACAAAGAAAACCAAGAACAAUUCCUCAAAACUCCAUGCACAGCUUCCUCUUUGUGGAUCCUGAGACUUCGGAUGCUGGGACUAACUAGCCACUCACCGAGUCAAAGCUGGUGUGCAGAGAAAACCAUUUCUCUCUUGUUAAAUGACCUCGCUUCAUCAUAAAACCUUAAAAAGAAAGCUUCCAGAUCAUUUGUCUCCAUCACAAAACUUAUAAAAAUGAGAUGGAAAAAAAGUUAAAUUAUUUUGGCUCAUAAGUUUCAGAUGGAGUUGUAUAUUUCCCUAAAGGGUCAAAAAUAGAACAUUUAUUAAACGACGAGUUAUUCAAAAACCGGCACAGGCCCCAGUUGUCUUUCAAAAGCUCUGAUUUACUGCAUAUUUCUCCCUUGAGAAAGGCCUUUUUUAAAUGUUCAUUUCCAUUUUAAGAGACUGUGGGCUUUGAUCUGUUGGGAGCAUUCUUUUUCUUUCCCUGACUGGGGCCUGUCGGCUACUCAGGCCUGUGUUUUUCCAUGGCCUUCCCCAGCAUUCACACGGCAUCUCCUGCAUCUGCGUUCACCCUGGCUAAUUUGGAGGUCAGAACUGGUGAGUCCCUGUAGCAGGUGACACCAAGAACCAAUGAGCCAUAUUUGCUCUUCACACCUCAACAAAGAUGCUGCUUCCAGGAGGUAAGAGAAAGAGUGAGUGUUUGUGUAAGUUUCAAAUCCAGCAACCUGAAGAUUCGCCUCCAAUGGCACAGGGCUGGACCGCACUCAGAGGUGGCUGCCACCCAAUCGUCACUCAGCGUUUUAUCGCUGGGCUAUUCUGUUCGAGUGCUAAGCAAUUGUUCACAGAAAUAAGAUAAUGGAAAGAGCAGAGACAGAAUGAGCAAUGGAGAGAGUCGGGCCUACCAUCGCGCUUACUGCUGUUCGUCACAGAGAUCUGCAAGAACUCUGAACUCAUAGAUUAUGUCCAAACUGAGAAGCACUGGACAGUCAUUUUGCUUAUCUGCGGUUUCUCAUUUCUGAGAAGAAUCUCCAUAUGGACAUUAUCACUUUUGUUAUAAUCUCGAGGAUGGUUAAGGUAGCUUUGAUCGCCACUUUCAUAUCUCCUGUGAUAAUCAGCACCAAUGGAAUGUGCAGAAAUCCAUCCCUAUUCCUAAGGACUCCUGAUGUCAUCUCACCAGGUGGGACGGUUUGUCCUGCUCGAGUCUGCACGCCCAGCUCCAACAGCUUCGCCCAAGUUUGGGGACAGGCUUCACCCAACACCCAGAAUCUGUGCAGUUAUUUGGCCCCUCAUUGAAAAGCCUCUCACGGUUACAGACAAAAUUAACUUGGUCAUCCCUGCAGCGCCGGAGGGAUACUUCUGGACUCUCUGUUUGGGGAGUGUACGCUCAAACCGUUUCAAGAAGAGAUUUAAACCUCUUCUUGGAGAAGACUGAGGCUGGCACAAGGCUAACAAAUCAAAUAACUGCACCGAGGCAAAGCUGCCGUCUCUCCCGGGCUGUACCCUGCCUGCUUCUCCCAUCCCUGCCUUCUGGCCGAUUUGUCUUUAAGGUUUUAGCAUUAUCCCUCUGUUGACAAAUGAAUGCUUUUCUGGAAGAUGAGGUAUUUCCAGAAGCAGGCAGACACUGGCUGGAGCGCCGUAAGAGCUCUGCCUCCCUCGAUUCGUUAUGUGAACGGGAGAGGCCUGGAGGUUUUGCGCGAGCAUUACGUUCAAGAAUGGAUCUCUGAUGCCUGCCCACCACGCGGCUGGAGUGGCGCCAGCAUCCCCAGGGCACGUCUGUGAUGACCGAUGAGGUCCACCACCUCUACCCCAGACCCUCCCAUACCCAAAGGCUCCCUCUGCCCAGUGAAGUCCCCUUCGCCCCAGCAUUCCUGCACCAGGCACAUCCCAAGGGUGGCCCCGUGUCCUGCAGGUGGCAGGAGAGUGCACCCUCCUCAGACACCAGUCUGAUAUGUCACCAGGAGAGAGCGGGCGGUCCUCAGUGUAUGCUCUUUUCUUGUCUCUGGGGAGCUUGUUUUGGCUCCUCAAGAAGACCUUGGAAAAAGCACAGGUUGUAGAGGCGGCAUUCGCCGGGCAGAACCAUGUCCCAAGACAACUGGUUAGUGAGGCCAGGCGUGACAAUCAUAAUCGGAGCAGCAACUGUGCAAUGGCAUAGGCAAAGGGGGCCGAAGGCGCAGCAGCCACCACCAUUAUAGUCAGACUGGGCACCGUUUCCUAAAUGUCACACAUCCUUCCAGCCCCUUGAUCUUUGCUUAUGAAAAGGGUCAUUCCCUCUACAAUCCUCUAGAACUCUUUGUAGGUUUUUGUUUGUUUUCCAAACACUGUACUUGCUUCUUUAUCUGUCUCUCUAUGAACCGUGAGUCCCAGAGGACCUCGUGGUCCUCAAUUAUCCUUGCUUCUCUGUGGCCUGUGCCAUGGGGCUGAAUGUUUGUAGCCCCCAGAAUCCAUAUGUGGAAGCCCUAAUCCCCACUGUGCUGGUAUUAGGAGGUGGGGCCUUUGGGAUGUGAUUAGGGUUAGAUGAGGGCAUGAGGGUGGGGCCCUCAUAAUGAGAUUAGUGACCUUAUCAAGAGGAUGAGACACUAGAUCCCUUGCUCCCUCUCUGCCUGCAAUCACCAGUGAAAGGCCAAGUGAGGACAUAAUAGAAGCCAUCCCUUCCCAGAACCCAGCCAUGCUGGCACCCUGAUCUCUAGCUUCUCAGCCUCCAGAACUGUGAGAAAUAAAUGUCUG
rnacentral:lncRNA from 1 species